rnacentral:lncRNA from 1 species
AGGCAUUGAGGCAGCCAGCGCAGGGGCUUCUGCUGAGGGGGCAGGCGGAGCUUGAGGAAACCGCAGAUAAAGGCAUUUCAUCCUUCAUGAAGCCAUUCAGGAUUUUGAAUUGCAUAUGAGUGCUUGGCUCUUCCUUCUGUUCUAACUUCACAGAGAAUGCAGUUGUCUUGACUUCAGAUGCAACCUUAAAAUCAGUGACAAGAAACAUUCCAAACAAGCAACAGUCUUCAAGAAAUUAAACUGGCAAGUGGAAAUGUUUAAACAGUUCAGUGAUCUUUAGUGCAUUGUUUAUGUGUGGGUUUCUCUCUCCCCUCCCUUGGUCUUAAUUCUUACAUGCAGGAACACUCAGCAGACACACGUAUGCGAAGGGCCAGAGAAGCCAGACCCAGUAA